rnacentral:rRNA from 1 species
AUUGAACGCUGGCGGCAGGCCUAACACAUGCAAGUCGAGCGGAUGAAGGGAGCUUGCUCCUGGAUUCAGCGGCGGACGGGUGAGUAAUGCCUAGGAAUCUGCCUGGUAGUGGGGGAUAACGUCCGGAAACGGGCGCUGAUACCGCAUACGUCCUGAGGGAGAAAGUGGGGGAUCUUCGGACCUCACGCUAUCAGAUGAGCCUAGGUCGGAUUAGCUAGUUGGUGGGGUAAAGGCCUACCAAGGCGACGAUCCGUAACUGGUCUGAGAGGAUGAUCAGUCACACUGGAACUGAGACACGGUCCAGACUCCUACGGGAGGCAGCAGUGGGGAAUAUUGGACAAUGGGCGAAAGCCUGAUCCAGCCAUGCCGCGUGUGUGAAGAAGGUCUUCGGAUUGUAAAGCACUUUAAGUUGGGGGGAAGGGCAGUAAGUUAAUACCUUGCUGUUUUGACGUUACCAACAGAAUAAGCACCGGCUAACUUCGUG